UUCUGCUGGCAAUGAGCAAAGAGACACCUGUAAUGAUAUUGUUCUUAUAUCAGUCAGGGGCAGAAGAGAUGGCAGUCCUUUGUUCAUCCUAGCUUGAUGCCUAGCUUGAUGGCCAAAGCUGUCUUAUGCUUAGGACUCAUAA